CAGAGUAGUAGAUCCCAUGUCCUAGCAUCUGCUUUAUAUAGGUACUGUUGACCCAAUACUUCUCUCCUAAUGAGACACCUUGUAGACCCAUUUGAUAGACAUGGAAGUUAGGACUGAGAGGAUACAGAAUGUCCCAAGUCACAAAGCUAUUAACUGUGGAACUGAACUUGGCACCCUUCCUCUCCCUCUCUGCACUGCUUCUCUGCCCUGGCCCGGCAUCCUGGCACUGUGGACAGAUGCACAGAAGAGGAACCAGGCAAGGGAGAUGUCAGAUACCCAACAAAACCAGCUGCUGUUAGCAAGGAAGGAACAAGGCGUGCUGCAGGGCUGGCCAGAGCCUCCCAAGAAGCUUUGAGAACAGGCCCGCACAGGGCAUGGAGCCACGGGACUGCAGCCCCCCAGCUGCUCACAACAACACCUGUGCGGUUGUGUGUGCUGCAGACACUCAGGUACCAGCAUGCAGGGAGGACGUGUGCAAGUGCCAAGGCCUGUGGGACACUGGGAAAUUUGGAGUUUAUAAACACAGCUGACCCAAGAAAUAAAUAUGUCAAACUAUACAUUUUUAAUCUUUUUAAAAAUGUUUUAUUUCUUUUUGAGAGAGAAAGAAAGCACGUGCAUGCACAUAGGCUGGCAGGAGAGGGGUGCAGAGAAGGGGACGGAAGAUCUGAAACAAGCCCGGCCAGCAAUGACAGCAGAGAGCUCAACAGGGGCUUGAACUCACAAACCAUGAGAUCAUGACCUGAUCUGAAGUCUGACGCUUAACGGACUGAGCCACCCAGGGGCCCCCAAACCAUACAUUUUUUAAACUUGAUCUGAAAGGUCACAUGAACACAGAGAUUCUUAAACUAAUUCAAAUGGGGGAGAUAAAAAAAAUUAGUAGUCUUUAUGGACUGUUAUGAAAUCUUGAUCAAAUUAAUCAAUCAUAUUAGAAUAAGUAUUUUUUUUUCAUCAUACUAAGUCUUUAAUCCUCAUCCCCUAUUUCCCCCAUGUCCCCACCCACCUCCACUCUGGUAACCCAUCAAUUUGUUCUCUAUGGUUAAGAGUCGGCUUUUUGGUAUUUUUUUUUCUUUGUGCAUUUGUUUUGUUUUUUAAAUUCCACAUAUGAGUGGGAUCAUAUGGUACUUGUCUCUCUCUCUGACUAUUUCGUGUAACAUAAUACUCUCUAGUUUCAACCACGUCAUUGUAAAUGGCAAGAUUUCAUUCUUUUUAUGGCUAAAUAAUGUUUCAAUGUGUAUAUAUACCACAUCUUAUUAUCCAUUCAUCAAUUGACGGACACUUCCUUCAAUAAUUUGGCUAUUGUAAAUAACGCUGCAAUAAACAUAGAGAUUCAUGUACCCCUUUGAAUUAGUGUUUUUG
rnacentral:lncRNA from 1 species